UACGUAGGGUGCGAGCGUUAAUCGGAAUUACUGGGCGUAAAGCGUGCGCAGGCGGUUCGUUGUGUCGGCGGUGAAAGCCCCGGGCUUAACCUGGGAAUGGCCGUUGAAACUGGCGAACUGGAGUGUGGCAGAAGGGGGUGGAAUUCCGCGUGUAGCAGUGAAAUGCGUAGAGAUGCGGAGGAACACCGAUGGCGAAGGCAGCCCCCUGGGCCAACACUGACGCUCAGGCACGAAAGCGUGGGGAGCAAACAGG
rnacentral:rRNA from 1 species